rnacentral:rRNA from 1 species
AUGCCAAGCUGGGAAAUCCCAGUAAACAUCGCACCCUUGUCGCUCCAAGGCAAGCUAUACUUGGUGCAAUUUCCUUGCGAUAAUGGCUCGCUGGUCUUCCAGAUGGAGGUUGGUUCGCCGUCGCUGCCGCCAAAGAUGAUUGCCACAUGCCCAGCAGAUAAGCUCUACGGCGGCUACCACCUUGUAGAAUGCGACUCGCAGAUCCUGCUUGCCGAGUAUACCGACAGCUCCAUGACACACAUUUUGAUCUACAAACUCGAGGACCUCAUCUUGGAGAGGUUUGUGCCGGUAACAAGCAUCGGAGACCGAUCCCUCUUCCUUGAGGAUAGGAGCCUGAAUGUCUGCUCCAAGGCACUGCCAACCAUCAUUGCUGAGACAGUUGUGUAG